GUUGAGCGCUGAAGGCUGGUACUUGUACCGACUGGAUGAGCAGCGAACGGGUGAGUAACGCGUGGGGAAUCUGCCUUUGAGCGGGGGACAACAUUUGGAAACGAAUGCUAAUACCGCAUAAAAACUUUAAACACAAGUUUUAAGUUUGAAAGAUGCAAUUGCAUCACUCAAAGAUGAUCCCGCGUUGUAUUAGCUAGUUGGUGAGGUAAAGGCUCACCAAGGCGAUGAUACAUAGCCGACCUGAGAGGGUGAUCGGCCACAUUGGGACUGAGACACGGCCCAAACUCCUACGGGAGGCAGCAGUAGGGAAUCUUCGGCAAUGGACGAAAGUCUGACCGAGCAACGCCGCGUGAGUGAAGAAGGUUUUCGGAUCGUAAAACUCUGUUGGUAGAGAAGAACGUUGGUGAGAGUGGAAAGCUCAUCAAGUGACGGUAACUACCCAGAAAGGGACGGCUAACUACGUGCCAGCAGCCGCGGUAAUACGUAGGUCCCGAGCGUUGUCCGGAUUUAUUGGGCGUAAAGCGAGCGCAGGUGGUUUAUUAAGUCUGGUGUAAAAGGCAGUGGCUCAACCAUUGUAUGCAUUGGAAACUGGUAGACUUGAGUGCAGGAGAGGAGAGUGGAAUUCCAUGUGUAGCGGUGAAAUGCGUAGAUAUAUGGAGGAACACCGGUGGCGAAAGCGGCUCUCUGGCCUGUAACUGACACUGAGGCUCGAAAGCGUGGGGAGCAAACAGGAUUAGAUACCCUGGUAGUCCACGCCGUAAACGAUGAGUGCUAGAUGUAGGGAGCUAUAAGUUCUCUGUAUCGCAGCUAACGCAAUAAGCACUCCGCCUGGGGAGUACGACCGCAAGGUUGAAACUCAAAGGAAUUGACGGGGGCCCGCACAAGCGGUGGARCAUGUGGUUUAAUUCGAAGCAACGCGAAGAACCUUACCAGGUCUUGACAUACUCGUGCUAUUCCUAGAGAUAGGAAGUUCCUUCGGGACACGGGAUACAGGUGGUGCAUGGUUGUCGUCAGCUCGUGUCGUGAGAUGUUGGGUUAAGUCCCGCAACGAGCGCAACCCCUAUUGUUAGUUGCCAUCAUUAAGUUGGGCACUCUAACGAGACUGCCGGUGAUAAACCGGAGGAAGGUGGGGAUGACGUCAAAUCAUCAUGCCCCUUAUGACCUGGGCUACACACGUGCUACAAUGGAUGGUACAACGAGUCGCGAGACAGUGAUGUUUAGCUAAUCUCUUAAAACCAUUCUCAGUUCGGAUUGUAGGCUGCAACUCGCCUACAUGAAGUCGGAAUCGCUAGUAAUCGCGGAUCAGCACGCCGCGGUGAAUACGUUCCCGGGCCUUGUACACACCGCCCGUCACACCACGGGAGUUGGGAGUACCCGAAGUAGGUUGCCUAACCGCAAGGAGGGCGCUCGU
rnacentral:rRNA from 1 species